UACGUAGGUGGCAAGCGUUAUCCGGAAUUACUGGGCGUAAAGCGCACGCAGGUGGUUACUUAAGUCUGAUGUGAAAGCUCCUGGCUUAACUGGGAGAGGUCGUUGGAAACUGGGUAACUUGAGGUGAUGAGAGGGGUGUGGAAUUCCCGGUGUAGUGGUGGAAUGCGUAGAUAUCGGGGGGAACACCAGUGGCGAAAGCGGCACCCUGGCAUUGACCUGACGCUCAGGUGCGAAAGCGUGGGUAGCGAACGGG
rnacentral:rRNA from 1 species